AAUACCAAUUUCUAUCCCUUCUUUAAUUUUCAUUUAUGCAAUUUUGAUUAAAUGAUCAAGACCGUGGAUUGGAUGGGCCUUGCCCUGGAUGGUCCAUGUACCAAUCAUCUCCCUAAUGAGACAAUCCUGGCCUUCCAAUCGGCGCUUGCAACUAGAUAGUAGUUAAGUAAUGAACAGAUGCACACUGCAGUGGAUGUACCAUAGCUCGAGAAUCACACUGAUUGAUCAAUCCUAGCCAUCGAACACGUCACUAUAAAAUGGAUGGUUAAAAGUAGUACAGCUAAUGAACCAAAUACAAUGAGAAAAAUCAGAUGGAGACAAUCAUCUGACUAAUGUGAUUUUUGGGUUAUGCUCCAUCCACGAUCAGGAUAGCAAUUUAGACAGACCAUAUUGCUGUAUAAGUAAGCCACGUGUACGGUGAAUGAUUAGAGUAUCUAAACGUUGCCAUGCAUGCAUUUUUAUUUAGUAGAAA